GGGGAACUGGCAUGGUGCUGCACUACAUGCAGGUCCUCACCAGAGAAAGGCCACACAAGCAGACUCCCUUUGCGCACUUCUGGGCUGCGCUCUGUAGUGGCUCUCUGCAUGACUGGGAGGUGGGGGGAAGUGUACAGCUAGUAGAUCUGUGGCAACACAGAUGUGCUUUCUGAGACCCCUGAUGAAGCAGGAGCAUUACUGAGGCCUUGCACAGGGGAUAGGAUUUGGCUCACAGUGCUUUGUCUUUUUGGAGAUAGCUACCCAUAUUAGUGCAGAAUGUCACAGGAACACCAGAUCUGCCAGCACCAAAAGGGUAAAUAUAUUGUCCCAUGAUUUUUUUCUGACUUGAGAAAUGAACGCAUUUUUUUCUGUGCGGGCCUAUUCAUUUACAGUGACAUAAAGAUAGAAACAAAGUCCAUUUAGGUGACCACAAAACUUCAGCCUGGGAUUGGAGUGUGAUGGAGUUUAGUUAAUAAAGUCUCCACUACUAUAAAAUAGGUAAGAAAUCUGCCUACUGAAGUAACACAAAGGAACAAGUAUAACAAACCAAACGGUUGUUUGCGGUGUUGUUGAUCCCAGGAUAUGAGAGAGACCAGGUGGGUGAGGUAAUAUCUUUAUUGGACCAACUCCUGCUGGUGGGAAAAACAAGCUUUUGAGCCUCAUAGAGCUGACCUGAAGAAGAGCUCAUUGUAUCUCAAAAUCUUGUCUCUUCCACCAACAGUUGGUCCAAUAAAAGGUAUUACCUCACCCAGCUUGUCUAACUAGAUUGCAUUCCCUUGAAAUGCAAUUGGAAAAAUCUUGCUUUUUAAGUCUCCAAGUGAAAAUGUUUUGGGGAGGCGGGGAGCAGGAGAAGAAGAGGGAGGGAAUUGCAGAACAGUCCUCUUACAGGCAGAAUCGCUCCCAACAGAUGUGGGUGAUCAGGGAAGCUCUGCACAACUUCUAGUAUUGGCAUGUGCCUAUAAGGCACAAUUGAGCUGCAAACUAGGAAACGGCCCUUAACACAGACCAGGUGGUCAUCCUAAAUUAUUAACCUUUCUGCUCCAAGUGCUGAGGCAUUUCUGCAUGCCCACCCCCUGUCUUUUAUUUAAUUUCUAGGUGACAUGUAAAACACAGUCUAUUUCAGUAACCUAGCACUGAAAUAUGAUAUAGGGGCCCUUUAUAGGUGAUGUUUACCAGUUUCAGACAAUGCUAUUUUAUUUCCCUGAAUCUUCCUGUUCUUGAGAUCCUAGCCACAGCGUAAGGGCCCCUCUGGAGUGUCCUGAGGAAGAAGCUCCCAAGCUGCUUGCUGCCAUGCAGUAGUGCUGGGUGUCUGACAGUUAAUUUCCAGCCAGAAGCAUGUGGUUUAGAAAUGCCGAUGAACUACAGGGUGAAGCAGAAGCACAUUGUAAAGCAAACUGGGAUUUCACUCCUGUCAGAAGCAGUUGACCACACCAUUAUACAGCCUCCCAGAUGGCCAGUCGUCAGAGUGAAAUGGAGGUCUGCUCUGAAGGGACCUCUGAUGCAUUGGCAGCUGCCCGUGAUAAGCAGGGGAAGAGAGGUCACAUAGGUCAAGCAGCGACUUUAAAGAAUCCAAAUAGAAAGCUGCUCCUCAGACAGCCCAGAUGGAUCCACAAGUUCCUUCCUGGAAAGGAUUAUACAAGGAAGAUGAAAUUCUGGAAGCUACCAAAUCCAUAACAAACAAUUUAUUCCUUCAUUUUAUUAGACCACAAAGAUUUUCUGGAACCAGCUGUGUUCAGCAUUAAAGCUUUCUAGAUGUCAACAUAGGAAACCUCUUUAGAAGUGUAACUAAAAUCUUGAUCACUUCCCCUGUGUGUUGUACCCUAUUUCCCUAUCUGUUCUAGUCUUUUCAGACUCUAUGAUCUGUGGCACAGGCACCAUAUCUUCAUACAUGCCCACAACUAGUAGAAGAGGGGCCCUGAUCCUAACUGGUGCUGUAGUGAAAAAUAAAUAAUCAAAAUAAGAACAUUUUGGAGUCUAGAUAAGAACACACCUUCAAUGUACUAGACAAUAGAUAGACAUCAUAGAUGGACAGAAAGGAAAAAAAUAUAAAGUUUUCUAAAAGGCAGUGGGCUUGAUUCUUCUCUGCCCUGAGCAGAGUGGAUAUAGCACAUUACCAAAUCAGAAUGGUAGUGUUUUAUAUCCACACUGCAUGACAUAACUGACUAAACAAGGUGCAGAGCAGUAGUGCAUCUGGCCCAAUGGCUGUCCUUCCUAAAUAGAGGCACCCUAUACUGUACCUCCAAGUGUCACUAGUUCCAGCCAUGUCCUGUAUUACUACUGUGUAUUACAUCCAAAUGCUGAACAUUCCUAAAGGCUAAUUUCAUUCUAGCCUCAUUUUACCCACAUGUUGGUUUUAUAAUUUAUAUAAAGGAACUAAAAGUUUCAAAGUAACAAUACUUACUGAAUAUGUUUCCAUAACUCUUCCUUUGCUUGUACAUCAGGGCUUCUCCUAUAAACACCAACACACACACAAAAGAGAGUCAGAUCUAUGAAAAUGUCAUAUUAGCUGAUGUGUUGCAGCACAGUGAUGACCUUUAGUGGCACAAAUCAAGGACAGAAAUCAUGCCAAGUGUAAUCUUAAUAUGGAGAUAUACCUAUCUCAAAGAACUGGAAGGGACCUUGAAAGGUCAUCAAGUCCAGUCCCCUGCCUUCACUAGCAGGACCAAUUUUUGCUCCAGAUCCCUAAAUGGCCCCCUUAAGGAUUGAACUCAUAACCCUUGGUUUAGUAGACCAAUGCUCAAACCACUUAGCUAUCCUUCCCUCUAACACUGACUUGAAUGUUAAAGAUUGUUAUCUGCGGGAAAGAAUUAAAAUUCACUGAAACUGAAAAGUCAUUUCUUGAAUGAAAGGCUCUGAGUUGAAUCACAAUUUCUUUUCCUCUUGCCUUCAGCAAAAGUAUGUCUAAAACAUUCCAAGCAAAAGAGUUCUUCAUUACAAGUUGAAGCAAGCUAGAGCCACCUCUGCCUCACCCUAUCCCACAUGAACUUGGCACAGCUGAGGACUGAGGCCUCUCAGGGUGUCUACACUGCAGCUGGGAACAAGCCUCCCAGUCGUUUAGUAGUCAGACUAGUGCGAGUGCGGCUCACACUAGUGCUCUAUGCUGUAAAGGGCUGUCCAUAAAUUACACAAUGCAUUAGGUGGUGGGUGGGUUCUAAAUUUUGCAUGUUUGAUUCUGUGUAACAGAGUAUUACAAGGGAGUAGGUGGGUCUUGAAAAUCACCAAAUAAUGCGUUACAGGACAACCCACAUGGAUGUUACGCCACCGUUGACACGGACUCAGGCUAGCCACUUGAACUUGGACUGAAGGGGCAGGGCUGGUCUGGAGCUUGAGUGGCUAGCCUGAGCCUCCACCAGUGCCACAAUGUCCACAUAGUUAUGUUUAGACUGUCAGCAUGAGCCCCACUAGCAUGAGUCUGUCUACAUGGGCUGGAAGGCCUGCUGCCAGAUGCAGUGUAGACAUACCCUAUAUUUUGGAGUUAAAUUCACCCACUUACAGAGAGUCUACACAAACCCUCUUGCCACUUAAGGACAGUGUAGCAGCAGGAAGGAGAAGAUAGCGUGAUCAUGCAGGGGGAUAUGACAUAUCCAGUCCUAGUAGUUUAUGUGGAUCCAACGAUGAGACCCCUUGUGCAGUUUUGGUCACUAUAUCAUUCUAUAAACUGGAACAAACAGCCAGGGAGGAGAUGCACUUUCAUUAGAGGAAAAAAGAACAAUGAGGAUAAAAGUGGAUCCCACUUUUGGGUGAUGUUUAAUUAGGAAGGAAGAGCCAGCAUUAACUCCAGUUGUACUUUAUUUAUCUUGACCAUUUAACCAUGCCUUUUCUAAUGUUUAUAAUAGUAAAUAAAUAAGUAAUAACUAUUACUGUAGUUGAACCACAAGUUAUAGGCUGGAUGCUGGAAUUACUGAGUGAAUUGAUAUGGCCUGCACUAUACAGGGGGUCCCUUUUGGCCUGAAAUCUCUGAAUAAUAGUAAGAAUAAUUAAUUAUGUUACAUUUACAUAGUGCUUUUCUUUCCCAAAGGUCCCAUAUUUAUACAACUAACCUGUUUUCUUACAUUUCUAGACAUUAACGGUUCAAUUUUUAAAAGCACUCAGCCCUGGCCUAACUCUGCUCCCUCUGAAAUCAUUGGGUUUCAUUGACUUCAAUAGGAGCACAAUUAGGCUUUUUUGAAACUCUCUCACUGUGUACUAGCGGAUGGCCAGAAAUAUUCUGAAAUGAAAGGAUACAGAGAUCUGAAAGAAGAGUGGGGAGAGGUGGGUAUGGCAGAGUUUUGCAUUUGUGUUAAAUGUAAAGAAGCCUCUGCUGAAUUGGUAUUAGACGCCUUAGUGGCAGAGCCUAAUCAAGAUCGUUUAAAGCUCCCCAGCACUGCAGACUGCCUUUUCUUUCAUGGAAAAAUUAAAGAUGUUUUUGUUUCACCUUUCACAUCUUUGACUUAUUUGUAGGUCUCAGCCUAGGGGAAUAACAUUUAGUAACAUUUGUUUUGACUUAAUAUUAAAUGUUUUAUAGAUGAUCUAGAAAUAAGAACUGUUAACUUUUGAGAUUUUACAGGUGUUCAGGUGUUGAAAGAUACUAUAGUGACUGGUACAACAUAAAUACCUGAGAGAUCAGAGAGGUGGAAAUUACCUUUUGCAUUUAUGGUUCUCUAAUGGCAUCAAAGUAAAUCUUUUUACAAUAUUUUUAGGUUUUGUCAUGAAAUCUGAUGGUGGGUUUUUUUGUGUAUGUCAAUCUAUUUCUUCUUCUCUACCCUCCCACUUCUCCUCCUCUCUCUCUUCUGCCUUCACCUCUUUUUCCUCCUCUUCCUCCUUUCAUACCAUGGUGCUUUCACCUCCCUGAGGUAGCAGCUAGAUAUAGGAGUGGGGUUUUUAAUGUUAUAUUUCACCCCUUAAUUCUGAACUGAUUUUCUCCUUUCAUUCAAUCCCAGACUCACAAAGCAGCAGCUGUGAACUCUGCACUCACCCUGGGGCUCUUCUGAGUCUGAAUAAUCAGCCACUAGGGAUUGUGAAAGCUCAAUGCAAGAUGCACCCCAGCUCCUCAAGGGAGGCUAGUACAUUGCUUUUAUAAUGCUCAUAAGUGCUAGCUAGCCUGAGGUAGGAGAGCACCCAGAUCCCUCCUGAACCCAGUGCUCCCACAAGGCAAUGCUCUGUGCAAUCCACUGACCUAGACCACAUUUUUACUUUUUUAUGCAAAUAAAACUAUUCACUACUUGGCCCUGGAUGUCCUACUAUCACCUAUCAUUGCCAGCAACCCGUUUUGCAUUGAGAAAUCCUGACUUCUGGUGUAAAAUCUUAAGACCAGGCAAGAUAAGAAGCUACUUUGACUUCAUCAUUCUCUAAAAGCCACAUAUCCUGAACCUGUAAACAAUCCACUGCAUAUUUCUGAGCUUUCAUCCUUAAUGCGUAUCAUCAUUCAACAUCAAGGGACAAGGGGCUUUCCCAUUAAAUCAAAGGCAUCCUUGAUCAUUAAUACCAAACAACGGUAUCUCUCUCCCCCCACCCCGUGCCCCUCAUUUUAUAAUCCACAGUUCAGAGAAGAGUUCAGCUACUGUGUUAUGCAUAAUGUAUAUUCAGACUGUCCUGUUAUAAAUCUGAACUGAGUUCUGAACAGACAGUACCUUCUGGACCAUUCCUAAGCUAAUCAGAUUCUCUAAUGCUCAAGGAAUCUAAUGGGAAUUUCCAUUAAAUGCUGUCUCCAAGGUUUUUUUUAAAUUUUAUUUAAAUUUUAUUUUUUGUUUGUUUUUUACAAGCUCAAACAGCCCUAGAUGCUAAUAAGGUCUACAUUAAUUUUAUGCCCGCAUCUGUAUUCUUAUUAACAAUUCAUUUUGAAUUCAUGAUUUGUAAAUAGUCAGCAUUUAGUGGAUUUAAAUAGCCAUGGAAUUUAAAUGGCCAGUCUUCUCAAUUAAAAAAUCCCCUUUGGCUACACAGAUGUUUUACUUGAACUCUUGAAAAUAAGCCUGGCAGAACUAGAAUUUGGAGCUUUUUACAUUUGCUGUUACCAUAAAAAGAAACAAGGGUCAAAUACUUGUCAAAUAUUUUUCCAAGAAAAAAAUGUAGCAAAGAAACUAACACUGAAUGUUAUUCUUUAUCAAAGAAAUUAAGGGUGAUGAGUCCACAUUAAACCAGACAUAAUUAAAGCUGAUUUGUCCCUCUACCUCCAGCUACUAAAGUGAACCAACUUUGUAGUUAAAUUCAAUACAGUGCAGAUAGUAAUUAACACAAAGUCCAUGUCUAUACUAUUAAAAUGACAGAGUUCAAAGCAUUGUUAAAUGUGUGAACUGGAAUGAAUCGUGUUAUGACUGGACUAAAACAAACAAACAAACAACCCCAUGCUUUGCACUAGGGACCUGAUUUUUCUCUGUUUUACAUAGGUCAAGCCAUGUUAUCACACAACUGAGCCACAACCAAGUUUAAUAAAUGCUGUUACACCCUACCGUAGCUUGAGUCUAUCUGUCUUGUUUAAUUUUGUAUGUAGCGUAGAUACACAUUCCAGGAUAUUAAAGAGAUAAGGUGGGUGAGGUUGGUAAUAUCUUUUACUGAACCAACUUCUGUUGGUGAGAGAGACAAGCUGUGUCUCUCACCAACAGAAGCUGGUCCAGUAAAAGGUAUUAUCUCAGCUACCUUGUCUCUCAUGUUUAAUUUUGCCAUUUAAAUGGUUAAAAAGCUUUAAUUUGAUCAUUUUUGUAAGAAACAUCUUUAAAGAGCCAAUGUUUUCUUUUUCCAGACUAUUUUUGUCCAUGUCAAAUGUUUUUAUUGUUAAUUUGUUUGGUUCUAUUUUGCUUAGAAAGAUAAACAGAUGAUGCAAAUAUAUUAAUCCCUAUCACAAUGAAGAGAAAAAAAAACACAUAAUACCCUAAGAUUUGUCUCCUCACCAUCUAGGAUCUUGUCUUGUUCUGUAAAGCACUGUGUACAUUUAUAUUGCUAUAUCAAUAAUAUUUAAUGAAAAUAUAACCUAUCAAAGCCUUUUACACCACUGAUCUAAUUCAGUGUUUCAUCAUUGCAUGAGUUAAACUAGCCACGAGAGGGAGCCUCUGGUGUCUCAUUAAUGUAAUAGAAAUUUAUCUGGCAAAGAAAAAGUUAGUUACAAAUUUUAUAAAAGGGCUAGAAAUUUGGAGUGCACUUCCUGGUUUAAAACAUGCUCUCUAUAUAGGAGGUAACAAAAAGUAAUGGAAAUCACACUUUAUGUUUUACAGCUUCAACACAAAUGAGUUAUUAUAUUGACACUUUUUAGCUAUGUAUUUUCCUAUAAUAAGUCUACCUAUUAACAUUUGAUUUUUACGUGAUGGUGAAAUAAAACAGAUCUGUACAAAGCCUGUAAAACUCUUAUUAACAUUUGGAAUUUUAAUGGCACUACCCAUUUCUCAUAAAGGAAGAAAAACUGUGACAUAUGGAGUUAGAGAUAAAAAUGAGUUCUGAUGAUAUUGGUAACCAUGAGAACUGAACUCAGGUGGCUUGUAAUAUCAGAACUGUGAAAUGUCAACACAGAUAUAUAGCUUUAUAUCGUAGUUUGGUUUUGUUCUUUAUAUUCAAUAGAUAAGAGUAAAAUAGUUGCACAUUUGUAUGUUGUAUGUAUUCAUCAAAUUUCAAUUUAUUUCCUCUGCACCCCUGAUGAAUAAAUCCUUCCAGUCACAAGUUAUUAAAGUAAUUUUGCACAUUUAAAAAAAAUCUUUUAAAGUGUGGUACAACCCUCUUAAAAGAAAGU